ensembl:lncRNA
AAAGAACAUUCAGUAUCAAAAUUAACAUAAAUGUGAAAAUUGGAGUGAGACAGAAAACUAAGAAAAAGAUGCCUGUUCAGGAAUAAAUAACUUCCAAACUCAUACAAAAGAAUCAUUAUAUUACAUGAAAGAAAACAAUUCAAUAACACAAAUGCUUUCUAGUAAUGCAAAAAAAAAUGGAAUGAGAUCAAAUUACCUUUAUUGAUUAGCAAAGGCAUUAUGGUCUUACAUUUUCUCACAUCCAUGUUGGAAUUUUUAAUUUGAAAACCUUUGUAUUAUACUAGAAUCUCCGAGUCAAUUAAAAAAACCCAACAUUCACCUUCAGGUAACAACAUAAAAUAAAUGUUACAUUUUGGACAUUGAACAACUGGAUCUGUAGAUUUGCAAACCCUGGGUUGGGGUUGUUUGGUUGGGGUUUUUUGGUUAAAAGCACAGCUUAGCAGACAUCCAUCUGCAAGGCAGUGUUAAGAUAGUGCACAAUACCUAGAUCUGAACCAGAAGGAGCCUGGAAUUAUUCCACUACAGCAUGAUGCGAGAUAUGCCCACACAGUCAGGAGAGAGAAGAGCAUCAGAAAAGAUUGGUUUCCGUAUGUGAAACUGUAAACUGUCCAGAUUCCCCCUUUCCAGGGAAUUCUACAUGAUUCAAUUCCCUGAUAAAUAUGUUUUGAAAGAAGCAUUAACCUCUUCAGCCCAAAAGUGAAUAGGGAGAAUUGCACUGACUUGCUCUGGCAAAGUUCUGCCACCAAAAUCUCUUCUGGACCAUAUCAAAUAAAGAGCAAAGUUUUCUUCACAUAUUUUGUAUGUUGAUUACUACUGCCAUCACUCAUCAGGUCAGGACAGUCUUGCUGGCUCUUUCUGGGAUGAAUAUGGCAGGAGAAAACAUGACCUUUAUUUCUAUUUUUAUAAAGCUGUUGUUCAGCACCGUGUUAAUUUGCAGUAAAUACAAGAUACCACAGUGAAACAGACCUUAAAUACAUCUAAGAUGCAGAAACCUGGUAUGACCUGACCACAGAAGCAUAUUUGAGUAAGGCAGAUUUUCUCAUUUUGCUGAAGCAGGGACUGCAAAAUCAUCUUUUAUCACACUGGCCACUAGUUACAAAUUUGGCUUUUUCUCCAUGGUUACCCUCUGACAUCUAGCUUGGCCAUCUGGAACAAAUUUGGAAGGAAAGAAGAGAGCAUGAGAAGGAAAAAGAUUAUGCUUAUAAUGCAAGACACCAUUGCUUCAACUGAGUGCAAUAUGCACUUAAUAGGAAUGGAGGAGAGGAUGCACAGCUGCCUCUUGUGCUUGUAUCAACACUACAGUUGCUUCCAAUUCCAGUGACUAAUAGUACAAUAAUUUAUAACCAUUUCCCCCCCCCAAAUUAAUGAAUACUGUUAAUUUAUAGCACUCACAGAAUACACAGUGUCAGCUCUCAUAAAUAUCUCGGAUAAGGAGAUGUUUUGCCACUAAAAUUUAUAGGAGAGAAUUAAACAUCAUCAACCUGAGGUAAGGGAGUUAUAGUGUGGUUACCCUGUGUUUUGUCUAUGGGGAGAGAGAAAAUGACAAUUGUCCAGAAUGCAAUGCAGAUCUUAGGUGUGUUAAAAUGCCCUUUGGAGGUGGAUCUCUCUCUCUGCUGAUCAAAGCAACACUCCGGGACAAAAAGCUGGGCAUCCUACCUAGGUGAGGCAACUAAAAUGGGAUGGAUCUACAUUAAACGUCUGAGAAGUACCAGAAUAACAGAAGGACUGAAAAAGAGCAUAAAUUUCACUAUUCCUAGUCCAGAGCCCACUUAGUUUUGCAGUGUGCAUGCACAUAACAAAGGCUUGUUCUGUAUAAUGCUUGCUCCUUUAGUCCUUUUGUAGGCAAAAUACUUCACUGUUUCUCACAGUGGAAACAAUGUCGCCCUGGAAAAAGCUCACUGCCAUAAAAGCAGUGACAUCUUUAAAUCAAAGCUUUGUGGUGAAAAUUGGCAUGGUUUAGAUAGUCAUUUUCUGACACUUGUUUGUUUAACUCUUGGAAAUCUAAAAUUAUGCUUUCCACAGUCUGUAAAAAUAACUAAAAUUUGCAUUGCUCCCAUACUGAAAUUAAGUGUAAAAACCGAGAGGUAGUUGAACAAAACUUGGAGUGAAGGAAGUAGCCUUUUAGCCACAUACUUAUUUGAGAAUUCCUAUUCAGCAACUGAAAAGAUAAAAAUCUUGUAAUACCAAUUACCUGUUACAAGCAAAAGAGAAAGAAAAUUUCCAAUACAUGUUGGAUUUGCUGCUGUAAGAUGUAAGAAGAGUGAAACCACAUUUGAGAUUUUUGAGCACAAAAAUUAUGAUCCUAAAUUUAAAUUUUGUUAGCUAAAAAGAAGCUGCCAGUUUGAAAAAUGAAUGGGAGCUAGCUUUGUCUGGUCCUUUAUGAACUUUAAUAGUUCCUGCUGAGUUGUUCUUAGACCCCUUCCUUUCAACAGACCAGCCACAAAGCCAGCAUUACCUCUACAAAAUCCAGCAUUUCAUAGAGCACAUCUGUCAGAUUCUUCUAAAUGGCCCAGAAGUUGUCCACAUGGAUUCAGAUUGGCAUGUUUUAAUUCUUGACAUUGAUGUGCUUAAUAAAACAUGUCCUAGAAGGCAUUUUUUAAUAUAAAAUGAAAUAUGCAAAAAGUUAUUCCAUGGCAGAAUCAGCACAUCUUUAUAAACAAGGUGGGCAACAAGGUGGGGCGAGUCAGGAUGGUAUUAAAAGCAGCCCACAGGUUUCAUCCAGCUACAGGUACAAUCCCUCUCCCUUUGAGAGAUGCAAAGUGGGACGAGGGCAGCAUUCAUAUCUCUGACUGCCUAGACACAGCGAGAUGUGCAAGGAUGACAGGGUUAGUCUAGAAGCACACGUGCAACCAGGCACCCAGAUGUGGGGGUUCCUGCUAUCUCUGUGUGAAUCACAAGCAGGGCUCCAAAACUGGAAUCUGGUCUUCAUCAUAGAUUAGUUCUUUCCAUCACUGUGAAAGACAUGAAUGAAUUACAGUAACAUUUUUGCUAUUAACUAUUCUGUUGAUGAAUCCAAAAUAUGUGCAAUUACAGAUCUAAAUAUAGUCCCUUAGAGUUAACAGAAAUCAAGCUAAGUAACUCAGAGAGGGAAGGAGGGAGAGCAGACAUCUAAACCCAUGCAAAAAGCUAACUUCACUUCAUCAGUAUGGUAGUAUUAUUUUACUUUGAAGCAAAGCCUUCCUCAAGAAAUUCCAUAUGAUUUCCAUUAAUAGUUCUAUUCAGAAAUAUCCUAGUUCGCAAAAUGUAAAAAUUAAGCAAAAAAUAAUGAAUCUCAAAAUUGUUCAUCUCAUUCCAUCUCUAAAUGGCACUGGGCAACAAAUAAUUUUGUAAUUACAGUCAUAUUCCUGUCUUGUCCGAUUUAAAACUUUUAAGUGUACUUCAAAAUUAGAGACAAGCAAAAGCCAAAGAGAAAGCCCUUUGUGCAAUUGUGCAGCAACAGUGCACCUAUCCAUACAGUGUCUCACCCCAUACCUAAAAGGAGCACAUCCAACACCACAGGAUACUCCAAAGUCCCUUUCCAGCCUCACUUUUUGCUGGUACUGUCAGCAAGCAUGUCAGUGGAGCCUCAUUGGCCUCCUCACUGAAGUGAGAAAAACAAAAUAUUUUCACUCUAGCACAUCAGGAAAUCAGGUACUGAUACAUGACCACAACCAAGCCUUGUUUUAUUUUUUUCCCACAUAAAUAAGAAAUUAAAGCUUCCUAUAAGUUAUAUGAUUUUUAUUAUUAAGAAAACUAUUUUUUCCCUAACUAUACAGGCCUGGACAUUUAAAAGCAAGAUGGCAGGCAUCACACCAAGCAGCAAGGUGAAGUGUAAAUUAGGUGCAAUGCUAUGUGAAAUCUGAAGACUGGUAUUAGAUGUGAGAGCUAUUUCAAUGGUAAAUUCCCAAAAUGCUUCAGUUGUUCUUUAGAAAGACCCACAACUGGCCAAUGCCAAAGAAAACAGUGCUUGGUAACAACUUCCAGUGAUAAAUAUGGUAUGUUUUAAAGCUUGUUUCACAGGUUUCUCUGUCUCCAUACUGAUUUUAGGAGAAUAUUUUCAUCAAAUCCAAAAUAGCAAUGCAGAAAGAAGUGCUGACAAGGAGAGGGAUAAUCCUGUCCUCAAUGCUGAUACUGAAAUACUUCACAGCUACAACAGAGUAUCCCACUGAGAUUUCUACAGAUGCCCUCAAUGGGAAGAACAGUAGACACGAACUUCCAAAUUUUCUCCAGCAAAGGAAAAUAAAUCAUUAUUAGAAAUACUAAACUAGUUAGCCACAAACUGCUGUCAAAAUUAUAAACCGAAUAAAUGGGGAAAAAAAACUCCAAAAACCAAACAUGGAAGAAUGCCCUCAAUCUCCCUAACAUUCAUAGAAUUAUCAGGCAUUACUUGAAAAAAUAGCAAUCUUUUUAAAAACUAGAAUAGUUAUAGGUACAAUAUUUUGAGUUGCCAGCAUGCUUUUAAUUACAUUUAGAAAGUUAAAAUCUAUUGCAUGAAUUAGACAAAUUAAGUCUCUCAAAAUCACAAUGAAGUUGCUGAUUCACCAACAUUUUUAAUCCUGCAAUUUACAAGCUUACAUACAUUCUUAACAAUAUCCUUUUAAUAAUCAAAUACAUUCACACUGGCAACUUCAAUACACUGAUUGAUGUGGCAAUUUGAAGUAUUUCAAGGGGGACAUUUGGGUCUCUUGACUUUAUAUUUCAAUGUUGCCAAAACACACAUCCUUGUAACACCAAAGAAUAAAGUCAAGCCUCGGUGUACACUAAGACUGACCCCAACUGCCUGGAAACAAACAGGAAAUUCAGAGAUUUUUAAGGCCAGAAGGGACUGCUGUGAUUGCCAACCUCACUUCUGCACAAAGGAGCCUGUAAGAUUUCACCCCUAAAGUCCUGCAGAAAGCAUUCAGAAACUGAAUUACAGCUGAACAUCUGGCACAGAAACAUCCUUAGUGCAAAUCACCUAAAUCAGGAUUAAAACUUAAAUAAUGAAAAGCCUCAGUUUUCCUUCUGUAGGAUAGGAACAGGUAGGAUAGAGAAGCCUCUACAGUACAUCAGGGUGACACUCUUACAGCAUAGCAGGAUGAAUUAUUAAGAAUGGAACUCCUCCACACAUCUCCACCUUUGCUACAGAUAAUGGCAAGCGAUUCCAUGAAUGACAAGUCCAUUCAUUAAAAUAUUUCAGGUUUCAAAUUUCAUUUCUACACUGUCAUUUUUUAAAACACAAUCACAAAAUCCCAUUUAUUGUUUUUUUUCAUGAAAAUAAUUCUAGCAAUCUGUGCGUUUUAUCAUUAUUUAUAUAGCAAAUGUUAACUUGUAACUAAUGAAGGAUUAUUCCUAUAUGGAAGAGAAUCCAAAGUCACAUCGAUUACAUCCUCAUUUCUGUUUGUAACAUUCACUUUUUGCCCCUUCCCCCACAUUUUGUAUCAUCAGAUCCAGGGAUAUAUUAGACCCAGGCACAUCUGGAUAGACAAGCUGAAUAAAAAAAGGUUCCCAUGACCCUUACUCUAUUAGCAAAUUCAGAAAUUUUAAAUCAGUGUCCAAUUUGCAAGAACCCAGAAAUAACCUAAGGUCUGCAAGUGUUUUCAGAGUAAGAAUUUGCCUUCAUGUACUUCCCAAUUGUUGUCUGAACACUGGAAGUCACAUUUUCUAAAACUGCAAACACAAAUUUGAGGUGAGAAGAGGCCAAAUGUAAAGCUGUUUGUCUUUUCUUAAAUGCUGCCAUACUACAGCCUUAGAGACAGUAGUUCUAUAUUGCACUAAAACAUGGAAAUUCAAGCUAACUAAAAUCACAUUUAAAAGAAAAAAAAGUUCAAAUCACCUUCAAAACACAGCUCUCCUAACUUGUUUUUAAAAUCAGCCUUGAAACUUUGUUAUUUAUUUAUGCUGCUAUUGACAGCUGAUGUUUAUCUGCCAAACGUGUCACAAAUAGAUAACAGAUUAAACUAUGGUUUUCAAAUUUAUUAUCGUUUGUAAGAGAGGCUUCUCACAAAAUUAAACAUCAAGCUUUGCUCUUGGUGUCUGUUCAAAAUCUCAGACGCCUAUCUUUACAAAAAAAACAUUUGAAGCCAAAUUUGAUAUAAAUCUUAAAACACAGCAUAAAGUUACUUUUAAAAAUUAUUAUUAUAAGUGCACAGGUUUUUCUCCCAUUUUCACUGUGAAAGAAAAACAAUUUCCAUUCCCUAUUAAAGCAUUUUUAAUUUGAAAUUGUAAAGUACUAGAAAUCGACAAUCUAACACAAUGAAGACGCGAUAUGAGAUUAGAAGCUUCAUAGCCCACCUUUCUUCUUGACUGGCAUUCUUCUUCCUACUUCUGAAUCUGGUGGCAAGCACUUAUUUACAGGUACUAACGAAGUACUACUGGAACACUCUGCAAGGUCAGGAACUGACUAUCUAUUGCAGAACACUUUUACAGUUCAGUAAGGAAAUGCAGCUUCAAUCUUCAUUUCUAUGAAUACUUGCUGUUCCCUUGGACUGGACUUGCGAUGCUCUCCACAAAUAAGAAAAAAAAAGGGGGGGAGAAAAAGAAGCUUUUUGAUUCUUUUUUAAAAGAUGCUUUCAAUUUCUUUAAAAUAUAUUUGACUCUAUAAAAAUACAAGAGCAAAUGUUCCUUGGCAAUAUAAAACCUUAUUAUAACUCCUCUUCUGGCAGCAAAGUUUGAAAAUUAAAAGAUUUUAUGCAAUACAAUUAAGGCACAGUCCAUCUCUAGGCAGCUGUCUCAAUACUCCACCUGUACAUGCUCAAAAACAUAUUAUUUGCAGGACAAAAACGCCCAAGUAAUCCAAAUAAGGAGGAAGACAAAAACAAUCCAAAGCGCCUCUUUAAGCUCUUUCACUUCUUGAAUUAAUUUUGCUAGCUAUGUAUUAGGUGACUACACAGCAGACUGAAAAGAUCCCUUUUUCCUCACCAGACAAGAGCCUUCAAAUAUCACCCUCUUACCCAACAGAAGUCACUGGGCAGACACUUUCAUUUUUAUUAUCUGCAAGCCACCCAGCCUUACGGUCUUUAAUGUCCCUCUGAUCCUCCCAUGUAUUAAAAGAGAGGAUUGAAAGCGAGGAAAGCAAUCCCUUGACCUGGAAUUAUUAAAGUGACAGUGCUGCCCACUGGGCAUUUGGGCAAAGCAGAUUGCUUUGUACUGGAGUCAUUUACUUCAUGCCAUUCCUUCCCUUGCACAGCAGCAGCCACCUCGUGAAAGAGGAAUAAGGAGAGUUAGGAGAAGAGCUUCACAAAAGAUUCAUUUUCAGAGAUAAUGAAGUAUUAAAGAAAUAAAAAGCAAGCCAUGAGAACAGUCCAGAGUUUCCCACUCAGAAGCGCAGCUGGUUGGCUUCAGUAUCAGCCUCUCUCUCUCUCCCCCUUUUUCUGGAAAAAAAAAAAAAGAGAAACAGAAAGGGGAUAGAUUUUCCUCAUCUACUUCGUUAAGGGAAAGUCUGAGAAAGGCGGGCAAGCUCCGAACGCUUCCCUUCCCCGCGGGGCCGAGGAGCGGCGAUGCACAUGGCCGGGCUGUGCUGCGCAUCGCCUUCCCGGGGAGACGGGACCGGCUUGCGAAGGGGGCGGCUCUGCUUUGCUCUGAUGUUCGCACUGGGGAUCUGCUCGUCCCCGCAUCUCGGGGGCAGGGACUCGGGGGCUGCCCCCCUUCAUCCCCUCCCCACGGCGCCCUGCCCCGCUUCUCUCGAACGCAAAGGGGUCCGCCUGCUGCUUUCCCAGGCGAAACGAGGCACACAGGGCUGGCUGCCUGGCUGGGGGAACUGAACCUGGUCUUAAGGACGAGGACAAUUCCCCUAGGAUUGCCGAGGGACAAGCGAGGGGCAGGAGCUGAGGGGAUGAGGGAGGGGUUGGAGGUGGGGCGAAGCGAGAGGCAGCCGGGGCGAGGGGAGCACAACGGAGCCGGCGGCGGGGAAGGGGCAGCGGAGGGAGGGCAGCGGGCGUAGCGAGGGCUGAGGGGGCAGGCGGGGAAGGGGCACGGGCUGAGGGGAGGGGGUCAGCGGGUUACCCCGAGGAAUGGGCCUCCCUGCACCGAAGGGGGAGUCCCCGCGUCCCGGCCGCCGGUGCAGGAUCCACGCUCAGCCCCGCCGCCAUCGAGGAGCCGCCGCCAUCCGCCGCCCC